UUUGGGUAAUGGAGGCUUUGCUAGGUAUGUUAUUGAUUUUGCCCACCUCCACUUCUAACUAUUUGAAGGAGGGGGAAUGCACCAUGUUAAGUUGGGAUUGCGUCGUCUUCUGGAUUUUGGUGCAUGUUAAUGAAUUAGGCAAGUGUCUUAUGGGUUCAUCUUAUCACGAGAGAUAUGAAAAGCUGGUGGUGUGGGGAUAUUAGCUGUCACCGAUAUCGUAUGGACUAAAUGACAGCCACUGCAAUCAAUUUCUUGGAAGAAGUUGGAGACAUAUUCCUAACAACUCAACAGAACCUUUAGGAGUAAUGGUCUUGAAGUCUUGAGGACUGUUCCCGGAACGUUGGUA